CAGCCGCCGCGGUAAUACGGAGGAUCCAAGCGUUAUCCGGAAUCAUUGGGUUUAAAGGGUCCGUAGGCGGUCUUGUAAGUCAGUGGUGAAAGCCCAUCGCUCAACGGUGGAACGGCCAUUGAUACUGCAGGACUUGAAUUAUUGGGAAGUAACUAGAAUAUGUAGUGUAGCGGUGAAAUGCUUAGAGAUUACAUGGAAUACCAAUUGCGAAGGCAGGUUACUACCAAUUGAUUGACGCUGAUGGACGAAAGCGUGGGUAGCGAACAGGAUUAGAGACCCGUGUAGUCCCUGUCUCUUAUAA
rnacentral:rRNA from 1 species